CUGAGCAUACUUUGUUGUUUCAGCAGAGUCGUCUUAUGACUAUAUGUAUUCAUUAGGGUGCCAGCAAGGUCUACAAGUCCUAGCAUCUCUUCUUGUUUCAUACUGUAGCUGAAACUUGAAAGAGACUCCUAAUUGAAUUCUCCAAACCUAGCUAGUGUCAAACUGCUGCCUUGAUGCGGGGGUGGACUGUGGCAAAAGCAGCAGUGACCUCAAUUCUUUCUACACAAACAGAGCACAUCGGGCUGGCACUCUGUGUCAUUCAGGCAUUCAUAUGAGACAGAGGUACGUUAUGGCUUGUAUACAUAUCAUGAUCUAUGUUUGGCUAACAAUAAUCCAACUGCUUCUGUGACUGGGUCACGUGAGGAGGUGGGCAGGAGAAUGGCACUGUGAAGACUUUUGCUGGAGAUCGAAUAGCCUCUGGUAGUUGGCUUAAUACAAAGGUUAUGAUGAUUGGUAUUUCUGGCAUGUAAACAACAUAAUCCCCCAGAGAUGCUGGACGGAGCCCAGGAGCACUUGGAGCAGCCCCAGAGACCCUGGGAGGAGCCCCAGAGCAUCAGGAGUGACCCAAGAGGAUCCUGGGCGGUGCCAGGAGCUCCUGAGAAAGACCUUUUAUCAGCCCCAGAGGUGCCCAGACACAACUAGGAAGACACAUGUCCAGCUCAUCCUCCACAUUCAAAGCCAGAAUGCAGGAGUUUUAUGCAGUUUACUUCGAGAUAGCUGAGUAAUGCAAAGGCAUUAGGGUCCAGAUUUACCCCACCUAAAUAUAGACGUUUAUUUGAAUAGUUAACUCUGGGCUGUAUUCACACUGGAGUCAGUGGAAAGGGAUGGCUUGGCCUAUUCCAGCUCUGAAUAGCCUUCUGACAACAGCUUUCUGUUCUCUGUAAAGGUGUUUGAGGUUACCAAAUCCAAAAUCUCAGUAUCAUUUAAGUAUCAAAGGCAGCCAAGAUGAAUCCAGAUCAGACUUGCUCAAGAUUUCAUACAAAGCUGUAAUAAUGAGUGAAGACAGCUUUUCGUCCAGGACGUGAUGCCAUCUCUUCAGAGAAACAUAAAAAAUGAACGCUGUCUUCUUUCUGAUUAAAAAGAGAGAAUGUAGAAUGUCUUGCCUGUGUUCUGCUGUCUAGGAAAGUUCAUUCAGCAUAAAUUCUCAUCGAGGCAUACUCAGAACAGCAUUAGCAAGCUUCUGCGCUCAUGAAGCCCUAGAAAACCAUCCCUAAAAUGGAGCAGGGGGAGACACUGCAGGGCUAGUAGGAGGUUUGCUGGUACAAGUGCUGCUGUAUUUAAUGCAGAUACGGAUUUUUUUUCAGCCAGGGCCAGAAAGCAAAGGACUGCACAUCAGUGACAAAGAUCUAUUUCCUUACUUUGUUAGAAAUUAUGAGCCUUUGUAGCUGGUGCUUCUCACAGCUUGUGCUUCAGCCCGCACUGCCUUUAAUGUUUGGGAAGCUGUUCUCUAAUGUGUAGAGUGAGAAAUGGUUGCCACCCCCAGCAUUCCCAGUGGCAGCAAAAACGUGGAAAUAUGCUGCUCUGUUAAGACUUCCAAUCUCUAUCUCUAAAAUGGUAUCAGGAUUGCACCCAGCAGAGCAGGGGGUAGCACCCUAUGGGGUAGCUAAAACUUUGCUCCUCUGAUUGAGCCUCCAGAGGUUUCCCUGGGAGAUUCAGCCACCUGAAGAUCUAUGGGUUAGGAGGCAUUUCAAAUUAUUCAUGCUACACUUAUUUUUGCUAAUUCUGUCCCAGUCAGGUAGUACUUCUGUUCUUGGCUACAUGCAGAUCCACAGGAAAUGACAAUUCUAUUUUAAAUAUUUUUGCAUUUUAAAAAUUAAAGUCAAAUGACAGUACUUCCAAGCUCUCUGUGAGGAGGAACACAGCCAAGCUGCCAGGAAUCUCCAUGGAGAGCUGCUGGAGCUGCCGACUAUCUUAGCCCUGUGACUUCUAAUACUGUGGCAGCCCAGCAACCUAAUUAGUGCGUACCAGAAGGUGAGCUGGCAAGUAACAAGGCAGGUUUCUGCCAGAACCUUGUCUCACACGAAGCAUUCCUUCAAAGGCAAACCUCUGUACAAAACACUGACAAUUGGGCAAAUUCUGGGAGGAAAAAAUUGCACGUUCCAUGGUCCUGGCUGAGCAAAAUGCUGAAGUGCGUUUCUAAUCGUCGUUGGUUUAGUGGACAGCCUGCACAGAGACACCGCUGCAGAUUCCCAGGGCAGGGGAGCAGGGGGCAGUUGGAAAGCAACUGGGAUAGCAGAGACAAGAACAGCUUGACCAGGGUGGGGAGGUACGUGGCUCCCACAUCAUGUUUUCAUUGAAGACAUCUGUUUUAUCGGGUAUUUGAUUUCUUUGAAAGCUCUCCUCAAAUGCUGCUGCAAGUGACAAGCAAGGAGGUUUCACCUCAUUUAUGUGCUUCCAAAUUUCCCAUCUGUAAGUUUGCUGUAUCAGUUAAUGGCUGUAACGGGGGUACUAGAAAACGUUAGGGGCCAGUAUCACGAGGGCAAAGUCCCUGGGUAUAAUCCAAAGAAAGACAUGGUAGUGAAGUUAAAACUAAGUUGGAAAUUGCAUUUCUGUUUCAUUGAACUAUAUAUUAGUUGUUUUUUAACUUUUAAUUGUAAUUGUUUUUGUGGGUUUUUUUUAAACUGUCUGUACUGCUUUUGACAUGGAAACAGAUUUUACUGUGAAUACAACUGGUUUGAGCAGAGUGGGGAGAUGCUUUCUUUAACUUUUCAGUAUUGCAUUCCCCUUUUACUGAACCAGUGUUCUUUGUGUGCUAUGGGGUAUAUAGAGAUGAUCCCUCCCCUUGGCAGGCAGGCAGACAACGGCUAUAAUUCUUCUCUUGAUGCUUAACCAGCAAGAUAGCAGUCUGUGUCUCUGAAAUAGCAUCCUAGUCUAAACUGAGCCCAGUACCUGGGGCUGGGGUGAUGUUGGGGCUGGCAGGAGCCCAAACAGAAAUCACAGAACUAAUUCUGUUUAUAUAGGUAAAAAUCUGAAGCCCUGAGUUCAAGAGGGGGACACUGCAGAACGAAUGUGGGUGGAAGCCUGCCUCCAGAACUGAAAAGCUUUUGGUGUUGGGGUCAUUCCAGGUUUAUGGUAACACUGAAGUAUGACGUGGGCUUGCCUGAAUCCCUCCUACCUUCUUCAGAUGGUUUGAGCAAAGAACACAUCAAAGAUGUAGACACGUCUCUCAUCAACUAAAUACCAGCAACCAGGUUACCUGAAGUAAUUUUCUGCCUGCCUGCCACUGGGAAGAAAGUGCCUUCAGGGGUUCUCAUUGUGUACCCCGAAAGUACACAGCAUAACAGCCCUUGAGUAAACAGAGGCAAAAUCAGCAUCCCCCAUCCUCCUCACUGAAACACUCUGUGUUCACAAUAAAACCCCCGCUUUGAUCUCUUGCCAAGAAUAACACAGACAGUCUAUUAAAACAUCUUUAAUAACAUGAUAUAAUUAAAAAUAUCUAAUGUGCAACUCAAAGAAAUGAA